rnacentral:ncRNA from 2 species
UAAAGUGAUUCUUAAUACGCUCGUAUAAUUUUGGAAAUAACCGGUCCAAAAGUUUCUACCAAGCUGCCGAUAUAGUUUGACUACGAGAGAUAUGACAUAGCAU